rnacentral:lncRNA from 1 species
UAGGCUUUUACGCAACGACGCGCAUCGCCUCCUGGUUUGAGUCGGGGGUGCUCAGAACUUUUCGUCGUCUUCCUCUUAAAAGUGCCCGUCGAUCAAGUGACUGAACUGAAGUCAAGACUCGCCUGAGCAAUUGCGUGGUCGGAACCCAAACAGCUGCUCUGCCAUCUUUUUCCUCUUUGCUUCGCCAUCAUGAGACUCAUCAAUGAACUGCAACUCAUAUUUGAACAGUCACAGUGCGUCGCCGCCGCCGCAUCGUGGAGUUUAAAUAGUUAAAAGGCGGUCUCUGGGAAAUUUGACGCUCCUGGUGUCUAGAGAAAUGUUACAUAUUAACAUUCCCUUUCCAGGUUUUUGGAGAAGGAGGAGGCGGCGGCUUCAGUUCUCUUCCCACCCUUGCCGUCGAGGAAAAAAAAACCCAAACUCCUUUUUCUUUCCACGGCCAUUGAUUCUCUUGGCGUCGAAGAACAAACCCCCAAACCGGAAGUUUUUGCCAAACAACUGUUGGAUUUGGGUCUUUUUCUGCCCCUUUCUCUGGACUGGGAGCUUCUCAGGAAUGAUGAAAUAGAAGUUCCCAGCUUUCAAAGGGCAAAGAACUAAUGCUGCUAUUCCAAACAUGUUUAUUCAGAAAUAAGACUUCCUAAUUUGUGUGGGACUUACAACCAGAUACCUCUGGAGAUGCUGCUGAGACAGAUCUCUUGGCCCUAUUGUGCCUGGCUUGGGGUUUGCUUGUGGCUUUUGGCUGGAGAAAAUGGAUGUGUGAGCACUGAACUCUGCAGGAGCCCCCCAUGCAGUUGGAAUAGCCAUGGCGAGCUUUUGCCUGCCAGACCACAGUGCCAAGGUCCUCACUGCUUGCGAAGGGCAGGUCACUCUUCCAGGACCUUUGUUCCGACCAGCACAUCUGUGCAAGAGUCAGUGCAGAGCAAGGANUCGCCUUCUGCCUUCCUCCACCAGCAGCAGCCUCCACAGCAGUUGUCAGAGCAACACCCAGCACUGGUCUCCAGGGCUGCAGAAGUGAAUUGUUCUGGAGAGGGGAAUUGCACCACCAGGGUCUCCAGUAGCACCCCAGGGGACUGCAAAGGCAUUGAGUGUCGGCUGCCCCUGCGCAUUCGCCAGAAGCCCAGGCGGGUUACUGCAUGCUCCCCGGACCAAAGGGAAGGCUGCCCUGAGCCUCCCUUGGUCAGAGUAACGGAGAGGGCUGCCCAGUUUAUUGGGGGAGACCUUGCUUACACAGCUUCAGAACUAGGAGGUGCCACCUUGGGCGUUCAGCUUUCCUGUGACGUUAAACCAGGAGAAAAUGAGGUCCCAUCUGAGGAUGCACUUGUUCUACAGCUUCAGCUUACAAAAGGACAAGAGGAGUUUGUUGAAAUGCUAAAAAGUCAGCAGAUGACAAUUGUGGAUUUGCAGCAAAAACUCUCAGAGCAACAGAACACGUUGGUCGCCCAGCAGAGGAAAAUUAUUGAGCAACAAAGGAAAAUGUAUGAACAAAUGGAUUUGAUAAAGGUCCAGUANGGCAUGCUUUUUGACACAGUGAAGCAAAUGUCAUUUAAGAAUUUGCAAGAGGAUAUUCAACACUAUUUCGAAGCCAAUCUCCAAGGCCUUCAGAAUCAAGUCAGAAAUCAUUUCCAGAAGCCAUACUCGAUGCACAGAGUAGACGUCGAUGCAAAAGUGAUUGAUGUUGGGGAACCUUUAAUGAACUGUGGCCUUUGUGAAAGUGAUGAAUUUUGCAAUUUUCAGAAGACACCUGCACAGUGUGAAAAAUGCACCUUAUGCCCUGCUGGCUUUUUCCAGCUGUCUGAAUGUUCUGGAAAUUCUGAUCGGAUUUGCCAGGACAGAGAUGAGUGCAUUGAAUCACCAAACAUCUGUGGGGAAAGGAUAAAGUGCCUGAACACUCCAGGAGGAUUCCGGUGCCUUGGUAUUGCAGAAAAAGAAGCUUCUUUGGGAUUGUGUGGAGAAGAAUACUUUUUUAACAAAGAACUGCAAGAGUGCCAGGCUUGUCUGAUUUGUGAGGAUGGUGUGGCUGUUUUCCCCUGUUCUGCUGCUAGCGAUACAGUUUGUUCCAUAGCUAGUGAAAAUAAGCUUUCUGAGUCUUGGGCUGCAAAUAUUGUUUUACCCUUGGCAAAGUCGGGGACGGAUCAAGUCUAUCCUGGCUUAAAUUUGAGGGUAGAGGGAAAGCAAGAGUCAGAUAUUGUACGAACAGAACAGGACAGCUUGGUGUUCAGGCAACAUGGCUUAAUGUGGGCUGACUUCAAUUUUGCAGUGAAACACAACUGCAGAAAUUUCCUCCAAGUCUCCCUAAAAUUCAACAAUAGUGAGGAAGGCUGUGAACUGAGCGGAGUUCGCAUUGAGCAACCAGAAAGUAAAAUUUUCCAGAGUGUCAGUGUGAGCAUCGCUGCAGAGGUGGAGCCCAGUCAAAUUCUUUCAGUGGUUUUGAAGAGUCCCAAUCAAUUCUGUAACCAAAGUAAAGAUUUAAGCAUUUAUGACCUCAAUACACCUCUGAGUUUGUUUUGGGUAUCCCACGAUACAGGGGCGGUGGCUAUGAUGGCCCAUAUGUCAACAGCGAUGCACUACCAAACCAAUUAUCGCCCAGCCUUUAAGAUAGUCUCCCUUUCUGACCCUUACAUGUUGACCUUAUCCCAUGAUGGCAGGGCUAUCAAGUUUACUGAAACUGGCGUGGUGAAGUUUGUUUUCCACCAAGCCUUAUACUCCAUGGGACACACCUGUGUUCGUGAAGGGUUUUCCCUGAUUUCGUACCUCAGCCAAAAUGGAACCAAUGCAGAACUAAUGACCGUGUAUAAGUCUGGUGUCAAUUACAGAGACACCUCCAUCUCCACUUCAGGGGCCACUAACGUGGGAGCUGGGGAUCUUAUGAGCUUUGAGAUCCUUUCACCAGUACAAUGCAAUGUUCGUUAUUUUGGAGACAGCUCUGGAAUUAGUGGGCUCAGCCUUAUCUGGAUCCCAGCUACAGUUUCCACAGCUGUUUCAGCGUCCGUCUCCAUGAUGGGGCUUCCAACAGGAGCUGUCAGAAACAAAUUACUAGAUUUUAUUCAGGUCUCAUCCAAUGGGAAGCAGAUCCAGCUAGCUUCAACGGGACAGCAUGCUCAGAAAUAUUUUUUGUUUACUGAAAGGGGAGUUGCUAGCAUUGUGUUUACAAUGAAGUUGAUCCACUCAUGUAAUAUGCUUCGAGUGACUCUAAAUCAGCUCCUCAGCUUUCAUGCACAGCCUCAUGUAGUUGCUCAGCAAGUUGGAGGUCAAAUGCCAGAAGGAAGUAUCUGGACCAGUGUUACCCUUCGUUCCUCUUUCAGAGUUCACAACGGAACAAUGAUAUCUGUUUCUCUUGACUGCAUGCGUGGCAGGGUCAACAGCAUUGCUCACCAACGUGGAACCAGUUUAUCUAUCUUAUGGGUUUCAUCAUAA